rnacentral:rRNA from 1 species
AGAACGAACGCUGGCGGCAUGCCUAACACAUGCAAGUCGAACGAGACCUUCGGGUCUAGUGGCGCACGGGUGCGUAACGCGUGGGAAUCUGCCCUUGGGUUCGGAAUAACAGCGAGAAAUUGCUGCUAAUACCGGAUGAUGACGUAAGUCCAAAGAUUUAUCGCCCAAGGAUGAGCCCGCGUAGGAUUAGCUUGUUGGUGAGGUAAGAGCUCACCAAGGCGACGAUCCUUAGCUGGUCUGAGAGGAUGAUCAGCCACACUGGGACUGAGACACGGGCCCAGACCUCCGUACGGGA